UGAGAGUACAGCUCAGUGGUAGAGUGCUUGUCUCACAUGUGCAAGAGCCUCAGUUCAAUCCCCAAUACCACAA
rnacentral:tRNA from 1 species